GCUGGCUUUAUUCAGAAAGACCUGCUGGCAGUUCCUACUGGAGAUCCCUUGUUAGCAUUCAGUGGAGGGCAUUAGAUGUACCCGCCUUCUCACCCCAGCAACUCCACAUAGUCUACAUCCCCAACCUGGCAUAGCAGGUCAUUUGUUGAAAGGGACACCAACCACUUCAGAAAAUGCCUGCUGUAAAUCGGUGUCGCAGCAUUUCACUUACUUGGGCAGUUAAUGUUUCUAGUCUGCUUGCAGACAGCAGGAUUAAACUUUAAAGAUGGGAAUCUAAAGAAAUUAAACAGAUUAGGGCCCUUGGAACAUUGCCAGAAUGCUGUGUGUUCACAGAGGUGUAAUACAACGUACAGCUGAUGUUAUCAACAUCAAAAGUAACCAAAGCACCCUGAGUGCUGCAAUCAAGUGUGCUGGAACGGGAAUUAUUUCAUUUCCUCCUAGCUUAGGAGCCAUUUUCUAGACCUCACUGCAUAGAGCUAGUCAUGGUGUUUUGAUUCACUACACAGACCUGCCCAGGCUGAA
rnacentral:lncRNA from 1 species